rnacentral:siRNA from 1 species
UCAAUAACUUCAGGAGCAUUG